AUCUAAGUAGUUUAUAAUAAAAUAUUGAUUUGUGGUGUCAAUGAUGUCGGUUGGCCUUGGGUU
rnacentral:tRNA from 1 species